AAUAUUAGUAUUAUUACUAAGUUUCAAGUCUCUGAGUUUAUUUAUAACUGAGUUACAUCAAAAAAGUCCCAAAAAUUAAAAUUCCUUAAAAUCUCAAAAAUGGCUCAAAAGUUUUGGCGAUGGUACCGUAAGAAAGUAAAUCAAAAGGCAACAAAAAAGGUAUUUUGUGGUUUUUUCGAUUAAAUAAUUUUUUCUGGAAGAUACAUCAUCCGUGAUUUUAUAAAAUUGUGAAAUUGUUUGUUUUUCUACGUUUUUUCCCUCUUAAGUAAUUUUAUUUAAAAAAUGGCCUCGAAUAUCAAAAAAAAAAAAACGAUCUAUGCAUAAUCUCUUUAAUGUAAAAUCUAAAGAACUGGAUGUUUCAAGUUGCCACCCGUAAAAUUCGGAGCAAGUUUACUAGGAAAAAAACGUUUCCACAAACUAACACAAAGAACAAAGAAAUAAACAGCAUUGUAAAAACAAGAGCUCCAUUGCUACCUUCGGAAUCUUAUAACAACUAAGAUAUAGAGAUAAUUUCUAUUUUAAACGCGCUUAAGGAAAUAAGUCAUCUUAUCAUCAUAUAUAAUUGUCC